ACAGCCUCCCAGAGCUCCCAGGCAGCUGCCAGCUAUUAAAUGCCAACCGACAGCCUGCAGAGAUGCCUUCAAAUCAAAGGUUCAGGUGGGAUGAAGUUUUGUUUGGACGAAGGUGGGAGUUUCCAGGGAGCCAGCUGGAAGUGCAGAAGGGAUGGAAAGCUUUCCCAGGUGCUGGACUUGCCUCUGUGGAUGUGUGCUGAGCUCUCACUACAGGGGACUGUGAGGCCUGACUGGCUGUGAGUUUGUGUUCUUCUC